GCCUUGCUGAAUUAUUCACCCUUGUCUUUUGCGUACUUCUUGUUUCCUUGGUGGGUUCGCCCACCACUAGGACAAACAUAAACCUUUUGUAAUUGCAAUCAGCGUCAGUAACAAAUUAAUAAUUACAACUUUCAACAACGGAUCUCUUGGUUCUGGCAUCGAUGAAGAACGCAGCGAAAUGCGAUAAGUAGUGUGAAUUGCAGAAUUCAGUGAAUCAUCGAAUCUUUGAACGCACAUUGCGCCCUUUGGUAUUCCAAAGGGCAUGCCUGUUCGAGCGUCAUUUGUACCCUCAAGCUUUGCUUGGUGUUGGGCGUCUUGUCUCUAGCUUUGCUGGAGACUCGCCUUAAAGUAAUUGGCAGCCGGCCUACUGGUUUCGGAGCGCAGCACAAGUCGCACUCUCUAUCAGCAAAGGUCUAGCAUCCAUUAAGCCUUUUUUUCAACUUUUGACCUCGGAUCAGGUAGGGAUACCCGCUGAACUUAAGCAUAU
rnacentral:rRNA from 2 species